rnacentral:rRNA from 1 species
CCUACGGGAGGCAGCAGUGAGGAAUAUUGGUCAAUGGACGAGAGUCUGAACCAGCCAAGUAGCGUGAAGGAUGACUGCCCUAUGGGUUGUAAACUUCUUUUAUAUGGGAAUAAAAUGUUCCACGUGUGGGAUUUUGUAUGUACCAUAUGAAUAAGGAUCGGCUAACUCCGUGCCAGCAGCCGCGGUAAUACGGAGGAUCCGAGCGUUAUCCGGAUUUAUUGGGUUUAAAGGGAGCGUAGGUGGAUUGUUAAGUCAGUUGUGAAAGUUUGCGGCUCAACCGUAAAAUUGCAGUUGAAACUGGCAGGCUUGAGUACAGUAGAGGUGGGCGGAAUUCGUGGUGUAGCGGUGAAAUGCUUAGAUAUCACGAAGAACGCCGAUGGCGAAGGCAGCUCACUGGACUGCAACUGACACUGAGGCUCGAAAGUGUGGGUAUCAAACAGGAUUAGAUACCCGAGUAGUC